UACGAAGGGGGCUAGCGUUGUUCGGAUUUACUGGGCGUAAAGCGCACGUAGGCGGAUACUUAAGUCAGAGGUGAAAUCCCAGGGCUCAACCGUGGAACUGCCUUUGAUACUGGAUAUCUCGAGUAUGGAAGAGGUGAGUAGAAUUCCGAGUGUAGAGGUAAAAUUCGUAGAUAUUCGGAGGAACACCAGUGGCGAAGGCAGCUCACUGGUCCAUUACUGACGCUGAGGUGCGAAAGCGUGGGUAGCAAACA
rnacentral:rRNA from 1 species